UACAGAGGUCUCAAGCGUUGUUCGGAUUCAUUGGGCGUAAAGGGUGCGUAGGUGGCGCUGUAAGUCGGGUGUGAAAUUUCGGAGCUUAACUCCGAAACUGCAUUCGAUACUGCGGUGCUUGAGGACUGGAGAGGAGACUGGAAUUCAUGGUGUAGCAGUGAAAUGCGUAGAGAUCAUGAGGAAGACCAGAGGCGAAGGCGGGUCUCUGGACAGUUCCUGACACUGAGGCACGAAGGCCAGGGGAGCAAACGGG
rnacentral:rRNA from 1 species